GCUUCAUAGAACAUGGCCCAUUUUAUCUCAGAUUGAGUUACACGUCUAUAUAAAGGGCUGAAGUAACUGCGGAGGUUAGUUGUUCAUUCAGUCAUAGCUGUAGAGAUUAUAUUGCACAUUCACAAGGAUAUUGUGGCCAGAGGAAUGGGAAUAAAGAUGCUUUUGCUGGUCUGUGUAUUGGCAUUCACUGGCCAAGGGCAAGCGAUUCCUGAAACUGAUGUACAACGUUCAGGUGUCAGUGAAGCUACAGGUACAGUGGAGGACCCAGGGAGAGUUGGAGACCAGAUCAACCCCCACAGACACCAUGACAGACUGUGUGACUGUAAGGGGAGGAGGAGAGAGGGUUUGAGUGGAGGCUGCCUCUGCCAGGAGUCUGCCAAAUCCUACCGCAAGCCCAGGAAGGCCUUUGUGGCAAUGUGCCGAAGGAAAGGAUUCCAGAAUCAGUGGAAAUGCCAGAAGAUCAUGGAAAGGGUAGAAAGGUCAAAGGGUGAUCAAGGCAAAAACUUCAUGAGUAUUCCAAUUUAAAGAGUUGACCUUUAAUAACUACUUUAUAAACCUUGUGACCAUGUUUUGUAAUCUCAUGUUGCUCGCUCAAGAACCAUGACUCGUUUUUUAAUAAAAAUGUAUUAUAUAAUUAUACUCCUUUGAAAUACACAUUUUUAUAACAAGUUUCACUAUGUGUGUGGAUUAAUUUCCAGUGUAUUAUUUUAGCAUUUUAUCAUUAGAUUUAAUAUUUCCUUUUGCGUGUUUUGUGCCACUCGAAAUACCCCUGUUACUGCUUCAUUAAAUCCACAUUUCUUCACAGCGAUUAUGCCGAUAAAGAAAUCACCCAAGAUUGCACCAUUCAGUAGGACAUGGGUGAAAGACAAAGAUUCAUUUAAGACAAUAAUUAAUGAAGAGGAAAUAUAAACAUAAGACACAACCCAUGUUUUACAUAAACACCAGUUUAAUAUAUUGUCGUUUUGAAACAUUUUACCUUUAAGAUAUUUAUUUAUGAGGUAAAUAAACCUGAAUUUGUACUUGAACUACAGAGUUUGCAUACAUGAUCAAACGCAGAACACAGAAAGGCACUCAGUGAAUGGACUUCCGGGCAAUAUUCACAGUCACAAGGGCAGUGAAUAUCUAAGAACAUUGAAUUCAUAACAGAAAUAGGCAGCGCAGCUGAGCAGUGGAUGUUUGCGCCUUCAAUUACCAUGU
rnacentral:lncRNA from 1 species